rnacentral:rRNA from 1 species
AGUUAACGUUGGCGGCGUGCCUAACACAUGCAAGUCGAACGCGUCCUAAGGGCAACUUUAGGAUGAGUGGCGAACGGGUGAGUAUCACGUGGGUAAUCUUCCUUCAAGUGGGGAAUAAGCUCUCGAAAGGGAGUCUAAUACCGCAUGACAUUCCGGGACACAAGUCCCGUAAUCAAAGCCGCAAGGCGCUUGAAGAUGAGCCUGCGUCCUAUUAGCUAGUUGGUGGGGUAACGGCCUACCAAGGCUUAGAUGGGUAGCCGGCCUGAGAGGGUGAACGGCCACACUGGGACUGAGACACGGCCCAGACUCCUACGGGAGGCAGCAGUGAGGAAUUUUGCGCAAUGGGGGAAACCCUGACGCAGCGACGCCGCGUGGAGGAUGAAGGCCUUCGGGUCGUAAACUCCUGUCAGAGGUGAAGAAUACCCGCAAGGGUUUGACGGUAACCUCCAGAGGAAGCCCCGGCUAACUACGUGCCAGCAGCCGCGGUAAGAGUCACGUCG